GCAGUCGAGCGGUAGAGAGAGCUUGCUUCUCUUGAGAGCGGCGGACGGGUGAGUAAUGCCUAGGAAUCUGCCUGGUAGUGGGGGAUAACGUUCGGAAACGGACGCUAAUACCGCAUACGUCCUACGGGAGAAAGCAGGGGACCUUCGGGCCUUGCGCUAUCAGAUGAGCCUAGGUCGGAUUAGCUAGUUGGUGGGGUAAUGGCUCACCAAGGCGACGAUCCGUAACUGGUCUGAGAGGAUGAUCAGUCACACUGGAACUGAGACACGGUCCAGACUCCUACGGGAGGCAGCAGUGGGGAAUAUUGGACAAUGGGCGAAAGCCUGAUCCAGCCAUGCCGCGUGUGUGAAGAAGGUCUUCGGAUUGUAAAGCACUUUAAGUUGGGAGGAAGGGCAGUUGCCUAAUACGUAACUGUUUUGACGUUACCGACAGAAUAAGCACCGGCUAACUCUGUGCCAGCAGCCGCGGUAAUACAGAGGGUGCAAGCGUUAAUCGGAAUUACUGGGCGUAAAGCGCGCGUAGGUGGUUUGUUAAGUUGGAUGUGAAAUCCCCGGGCUCAACCUGGGAACUGCAUUCAAAACUGACUGACUAGAGUAUGGUAGAGGGUGGUGGAAUUUCCUGUGUAGCGGUGAAAUGCGUA
rnacentral:rRNA from 1 species